rnacentral:rRNA from 1 species
UUGUCUCAAAGAUUAAGCCAUGCAUGUCUCAGUACAAGCCAAAUUAAGGUGAAACCGCGAAAGGCUCAUUAAAUCAGUUAUGGUUCCUUAGAUCGUACCCACACUUACUUGGAUAACUGUGGUAAUUCUAGAGCUAAUACAUGCAAACAGAGCUCCGACCGGAGACGGGAGGAGUGCUUUUAUUAGAUCAAAACCAAUCGGCGGCGGGCGCGUUCGCGCGUCCGUUCGCCGCUCAACCUGGUGACUCUGAAUAACUUUCCGCUGAUCGCACGGUCUCGCACCGGCGACGCAUCUUUCAAAUGUCUGCCUUAUCAACUGUCGAUGGUAGGUUCUGCGCCUACCAUGGUCGUAACGGGUAACGGGGAAUCAGGGUUCGAUUCCGGAGAGGGAGCCUGAGAAACGGCUACCACAUCCAAGGAAGGCAGCAGGCGCGCAAAUUACCCACUCCCGGCACGGGGAGGUAGUGACGAAAAAUAACGAUACGGGACUCAUCCGAGGCCCCGUAAUCGGAAUGAGUACACUUUAAAUCCUUUAACGAGGAUCCAUUGGAGGGUAAGUCUGGUGCCAGCAGCCGCGGUAAUUCCAGCUCCAAUAGCGUA